rnacentral:rRNA from 1 species
UCUUUAUCACCGAGUGCUUGCACUCACCGAUAAAGAGUUGAGUGGCGAACGGGUGAGUAACACGUGGGCAACCUGCCCAAAAGAGGGGGAUAACACUUGGAAACAGGUGCUAAUACCGCAUAACCAUAGUUACCGCAUGGUAACUAUGUAAAAGGUGGCUAUGCUACCGCUUUUGGAUGGGCCCGCGACGCAUUAGCUAGUUGGUGGGGUAAAGGCUUACCAAGGCAAUGAUGCGUAGCCGAACUGAGAGGUUGAUCGGCCACACUGGGACUGAGACACGGCCCAAACUCCUACGGGAGGCAGCAGUAGGGAAUCUUCCACAAUGGGCGAAAGCCUGAUGGAGCAACGCCGCGUGGGUGAAGAAGGUCUUCGGAUCGUAAAACCCUGUUGUUAGAGAAGAAAGUGCGUGAGAGUAACUGUUCACGUUUCGACGGUAUCUAACCAGAAAGCCACGGCUAACUACGUGCCAGCAGCCGCGGUAAUACGUAGGUGGCAAGCGUUAUCCGGAUUUAUUGGGCGUAAAGAGAACGCAGGCGGUCUUUUAAGUCUGAUGUGAAAGCCUUCGGCUUAACCGGAGUAGUGCAUUGGAAACAGGGAGACUUGAGUGCAGAAGAGGAGAGUGGAACUCCAUGUGUAGCGGUGAAAUGCGUAGAUAUAUGGAAGAACACCAGUGGCGAAAGCGGCUCUCUGGUCUGUAACUGACGCUGAGGUUCGAAAGCGUGGGUAGCAAACAGGAUUAGAUACCCUGGUAGUCCACGCCGUAAACG